CGCCAGGAGCAGCAGCAGCAGCAUCGGCAUCAGCCCCGGCGUCAGCGCAGUGUCCCUGGGCCCCGGAGGAGGAGGAGGAGGAGAGGAAGGAGGCGGCGGAGGCCGAGGCCCAGGAGGAAGCCGCCGCCGCUCCAGCAGAACCGGCGGCGGAGGGCGCUGCUCCCUCCCGCGGCGCUGAGCCGAGCGGAGCCCAGGGAGGCGGCGGCCCGGCGGCGGAGGCAGCAGCAGCGGCAGCAGCAGCAAAAGGACCCGCCGGAGAACAAGAAGAAGCCCCCGCCGCCGCCGCCUCCGCCUCCUCGAAGACCGUUGUCGCCUUCGCCGCGCUUCCCCCCGUCUUCGCCCAGCAGCAGCAGCAUGGUCCGGGAGACCAGGCACCUCUGGGUGGGCAACUUGCCGGAGAACGUCCGCGAGGAGAAGAUCAUCGAGCACUUCAAGCGAUAUGGACGAGUUGAAAGUGUCAAAAUCCUCCCCAAGAGGGGAUCGGAAGGCGGCGUGGCAGCCUUUGUGGAUUUUGUGGACAUCAAGAGUGCCCAGAAGGCACACAACUCUGUCAACAAAAUGGGCGAUAGAGACCUUCGGACGGAUUAUAAUGAGCCAGGAACCAUUCCUAGUGCUGCCCGUGGCUUGGAUGAUACAGUUUCCAUAGCGUCUCGUAGUAGAGAGGUUUCUGGGUUCAGAGGAGGUGGGGGUGGGCCCACGUAUGGCCCACCCCCAUCGCUUCAUGCACGGGAAGGACGUUAUGAACGGAGACUUGAUGGGGCUUCAGAUAACAGGGAGCGUGCUUAUGAACAUAGUGCCUAUGGACACCAUGAACGGGGGACAGGAGGAGGCUUUGAUCGGACAAGACAUUAUGAUCAGGAUUACUAUAGAGAUCCUCGGGAGCGGACUUUACAACAUGGACUUUACUACAGUUCUCGGAGCCGCAGCCCGAGCCGUUUUGACACUCAUGACCCCCGAUACGAACCUCGGGCUCGGGAGCAGUUUACCUUGCCCAGCGUGGUACAUAGGGAUAUCUACAGGGACGAUCUCACACGGGAGGUACGAGGGAGGAGGCCGGAGCGGAGUUACCAGCACAGCCGGAGUCGGUCGCCACACUCUUCCCAGUCUCGGACCCAGUCCCCUCAGAGGCUGGCUAGCCAGGCGUCGCGGCCGACCAGGUCGCCCAGUGGCAGUGGCUCAAGGAGCAGGUCUUCAAGCAGUGAUUCCAUCAGCAGCAGCAGCAGUACCAGCAGCGACAGCAGUGACUCCAGCAGCAGUUCCAGCGACGAGUCUCCAGCGCGAUCGGUGCAAUCCACGGCUGUCCCUGCGCCCACCUCCCAGUUGCUUCCAUCUCUGGAGAAGGAUGAACCCCGCAAAAGCUUUGGCAUUAAGGUUCAAAAUCUUCCAGUGCGCUCCACAGACACCAGCCUUAAAGAUGGAUUGUUCCAUGAGUUCAAGAAGUAUGGGAAGGUGACCUCUGUGCAGAUCCACGGGGCCUCCGAAGAGCGCUACGGGCUCGUCUUCUUCCGGCAGCAGGAGGACCAGGAGAAAGCACUGGGAGCCUCCAAAGGGAAACUCUUCUUUGGCAUGCAGAUCGAGGUGACAGCAUGGAUUGGGCCAGAAACAGAAAGUGAGAAUGAAUUUCGGCCUUUGGAUGAAAGGAUAGAUGAAUUCCACCCCAAAGCAACAAGAACUCUCUUCAUUGGUAAUCUGGAAAAAACCACCACCUAUCAUGACCUUCGCAAUAUUUUUCAGCGUUUUGGAGGGAUAGUGGAUAUCGACAUUAAGAAAGUGAACGGUGUUCCUCAGUAUGCAUUCCUCCAAUACUGCGAUAUUGCCAGCGUCUGCAAAGCUAUCAAGAAAAUGGAUGGGGAAUACCUGGGAAACAACCGGCUCAAGCUGGGCUUUGGGAAGAGCAUGCCGACCAACUGCGUGUGGUUGGAUGGCCUUUCGACCAACGUCACAGAUCAAUACCUAACGCGACACUUCUGCCGCUACGGCCCCGUGGUGAAGGUGGUGUUUGACCGCUUAAAAGGCAUGGCUCUCGUUCUCUACAAUGAGAUUGAAUAUGCGCAAGCAGCUGUAAAAGAGACCAAGGGGAGGAAGAUCGGUGGGAAUAAGAUUAAGGUCGAUUUUGCAAACCGUGAGAGCCAGUUGGCAUUCUAUCACUCCAUGGAGAAAACGGGUCAGGAUAUUAGAGACUUCUAUGAAAUGCUGGCAGAAAGAAGGGAGGAAAGAAGAGGAUCUUACGAAUAUGCUGCUGAUCGUACUUACUAUGAGGCUGUCCGAACCCCAGGGACCUAUCCCGAGGACCCCCGGAGAGAAUACCCAGCCCGCAGCAGGGAGUUUUACGCUGACUGGGAUCCUUAUCAGGGAGACUACUAUGACCCACGGUAUUACGAUGAUCCGCGGGAAUACAGAGAGUACAGGGGAGACCCUUAUGAGCAAGACAUAAGGGAGUACAGUUACAGGCAGCGGGAGCGGGAACGGUUUGAGUCGGACCGGGACCACGAAAGGAGGCCCAUUGAGAGGAGCCAAAGUCCUGCUCAUUCCCGGCGGCCACAGAGUCCCGGAGCAUCUCCGUCCCAGUCUGAGAGGCUGCAGAGCGAUUCUGAGAGGAGGAUCUACAGCCGGUCAUCUGAGCGGAGCGGCAGCUGCAGCUCACUUUCUCCACCACGCUAUGACAAGCUGGACAAAGCCCGCCUCGAGCGCUAUGCAAAAACAGAAAAAACAGAAAAAGAGCGGACCUUUGAGCAGGAGAGGCCUGACAAAGACAAGCGCCUGGUGAGGAAGGAGAAGCCAGAAAAACUGGACAAGGACAAAACAGAGAAGCAAAAGCGCAAGACAAAAAUUCACUCCCCAAGCUCACAGUCUUCUGAAACGGAGCAAGAAAAUGAACGAGAGCCAAGUCCUGAGAAAGUGAAAGGCGGAAGCAAAACGAGCCGGGAGAGAACUGACAAAGAAGGGACUGCUAAGAACCGCCUUGAACUGAUGCCCUGCGUGGUGUUGACACGAGUAAAAGAGAAGGAAGGGAAAGUAAUUGAACAACCUGCUUUGGAGAAGCUGAGGGGGAAGCAGGAGAACGAGACCAUGAAGCCUCCCUUGCUGGAACAAAAGGCCCAGGCUUCUCAGGUGGAUCAAAGCAAGUCAGAUCCACUGAAACUUGAGCCCAUCAGAACUAAAGUGUCAAAAGAGAAGGUGCUGGCCAGUCACAUCGAGGUGGUUGAUAAGGAUGGGAAGGUGAAACCCAAGAAGCACCUGAAGGCAGAUCAGUUGAGCGAAGUGGCAAAUCCAGUCGACCUAGAAAAGCUAGAGGCCCGCAAAAGACGCUUUGCUGACGCAAACCCAAAGCCCGAUAAGCAGAAACUGGAAAUCAAACGAAGUAAUCAAGAGGAGGAGGAAGGGCGCGUGAUUUUGAAGAAGCAGAUUGAUAUGACAGCUGAAUCUGAAAGGAAGCCCCCAAGGAAGGAGCAGCUUAAGAGGGAGUCUAAGAAAAUCAAGCUGGAAAGACUUUCCACCAUAGCCAGUCCCAAAGACACUCCAGAGCCACCAAGUGUUUCUGCUGGUUUGCGUCCCAGUUUGGAGUUGCAGGCUAGAUUGGGGGAGCCAGUCCAUGAGCCCCUGGAAGCACCUGAGGUCCCUCCUAGGAAGGCAAACUCAGUAAAACUGCAGCACAAACACACUCAGCUGCAGGACGACCAAGGAGCUGAGAGAGAGGAUGCCUGGAAAAACUACUGUGGUCUCUCGGAAGAGGCACCUGACCACAAACCUGCCCAGGACAAGCCCCUGUUGUCGGAUAUUGAGGAGAAAAUUCCCAUCGACAUCGAUCACACGCAGAGCUACCGGAAACAGAUGGAACUGAGCCGUAGGUUAAAGCAGCAAAUGGAGAUGGAAAUAGCAAAGCAUGAGAAGUUUGGCAGCCCAAAGAAAGACCUGGAUGAGUACGAAAGGCGUAGCCUGGUGCACGAGGUUGGGAAGCCCCCACAAGAUGUGACAGACGAUUCUCCUCCAAGUAAGCGGAAGAAGUCCUCAGACACUUUUGACUUUGAGAUUAGCACUAAGCGAGAGAGAAAUUACCGGAGCUCCCGCCAGGUGAGUGAGGACUCUGAACGGACCGCCUGUUCCCCCGGCCUCAGGCCCUUCCCGUUCCAUGAGGAGGACGAGGCGCUGGAUUCCCCACAGCUGAUGCUCAUAAAAGAAGCCAAAGAGUCGCCUAAAGUGGAGGACAAAGGCCCUGCCUAUUCCAGUGUGGCCAUACGGGAAGAUUCCUUGAAAUUCAAUCCCUAUGAUUCCAGUCGAAGAGAGCAGAUGGCAGAAAUGGCUAAAAUCAAGAUGUCUGUUCUAAGUUCUGAAGAGGAGACAAACCGCUGGGAAGCGCCAGUGAAGCAGGAGUCCAGCCGCGUGGACAUUAGCUUUCCAAGUAGCGUAGUCAAGAGAGACAGCAUACGGAAACGGUCCACACGGGAUCUGGAGCCAGGGGAGGUGCCUUCGGACUCAGACGACGAUGGCGACAGUAAACCCCAUUCUCCUAAAUCCUCUUCUUUACUGGAAAGUUCCAGGUUAUCUUUUUUAUUACGGGACAGGGAUGAAAAACUUCGUGAAAGAGAAGAGAGGUUGCCAACCUCCUUAGAAAGGAACAAGUUUUAUUCCUUUGCACUGGACAAGACAAUCACUCCCGACACCAAAGCCUUGCUGGAGAGAGCAAAGUCUCUCUCAUCAUCUAGAGAAGAGAACUGGUCUUUUCUAGAUUGGGACUCAAGAUUUGCUAAUUUUAGGAACAAUAAGGACAAAGAGAAAGUGGAUUCUGCACCAAGGCCCAUCCCUUCAUGGUAUAUGAAAAAGAAGAAAAUCAGAACAGAUUCUGAAGGAAAGCUGGAUGACAAGAAAGAAGACCACAAGGAAGAGGAGCAAGAGCGGCAGGAACUGUUUGCCUCGCGUUUUUUACACAGCUCAAUCUUUGAACAGGAUUCUAAGCGCCUGCAGCACUUGGAAAGGAAAGAUGAAGACCUCGACUUUCUCUCUGGCAGGUUGUAUGGUAGACAGGCAUCUUUCGAUGGUACUAACAGCAUUUCAGACUUUGUGCCGGAGCCAGUGGUUCUCUUUCAUAGUAGAUUUGUUGAGCUUACCCGGAUGCAGCAGAAGGAGAAGGAAAAAGACCAGAAGCCCAAAGAAGCAGAAAAGCAAGAAGAUGAGGAGAGUCAGCCCAAAACACCAGAAGCUGUACCUGAUAAUAAAGAACCAGAGUAUAAACCACCACUGUUAGUUGGGCCAUCGCCAGUUACGCCAGCACAGCAAGAACUAUUACUAGCCAUUCCAGAGAAGAUAGUGAUUGAGAAGCUGCCGGCCGAGGCGUCCUGUGCUUCAAAAGAGGAGAAAUUGCCUGAGGUUGGUCCUGUGGCUGAAGAGCUAAAGCUUCUUCCUGAACUCCUUGCUCCUGAUAAAACAGAAUCGCCUGAGCACACUGAAGCACCACCAGUCAUGGAGGGCAAUAAAGACACAGCUCUUUCCAUGGUAACCCCUGAGGAAGACUCCAUAUCUGUAGAGCACCCCUCAUAUUUGGAUACAAAGCCACCUACACCUGGGUCUUCUUUUUCCCAAACAGAUAUCGGCACAGAUCCAGAACCAGAAAUAGCACCACCACCCCCAAAAUUGGCCACAAAGACAGAGGAAUUGUCUGAACCUAAAGAAGAAAGUGUGUCCCUGUCCAUUAAUUCAGAGCCUGCUGCUCUGGGCCAGAAAGUGGAGGCUGCCAAUGAGGUUCUCCCUCCUGUUUCCGACACAGAGAUGGAAGCUGAGCCCCCUGUUGUUGUAAAAGACAAGAAGUCAUAUAAGAGCAAGCGCGCCAAAACCCCUGUCCAGUCUUCUGUUGCAAAUGUUGCAGAGAAACCCGUCACUAGAAAGAGCGAGAGGAUAGAUCGUGAAAAGCUUAAAAGAUCUGGCUCUCCCCGUGGGACUGAAGCACUGAAGGUGGAAACAGAGAAGGUUUUGAGAAAUGCUGCCAAAUCUCCAAGUGCUGCAGCAGAGCCUGAGACUCCAGAACCCAGUUUGCCCAUUGGCCGAACAAGGCGUAGGAAUGUACGGUCAGUUUAUGCAACCACCGGAGGAGACCAUGAAGGACCAUCACCAGUGAAAGAUUCUGUGGAGAUCACCAGAACAACCAGAAAAAGAGUGGAACGAGAGCCACCAGACCUCACCACCGUUCCUACACCUCCGAGAAGAGGCAGACCUCCAAAGGCACGUCGCAAACCUGAGGAGGAAAUAUCUCCUGUUAAAAUUGAACCAGUGCAGCAAGAGGCAGAAGAAACAGAAGCAAAGGAGACGGUGGAGACCCCUAAACCUGUGGAGGGCUGGAGAUCACCCAGGUCCCAGAAGCUAAUACACAGUCACCCUUCAUCCGCUGGUGGCCCACAAGGCAAGAAGGGGAAAAGUGAGCCCAAAGCAGAGAUGGGCACAGAGCCUGAAGAGCCUUCUGAAUCUCCCAGCCAAGGGCUGAGUGCCAGUGAGAACAGUAGUAAGCCCAAGGCAGACAAAGAGGUUUCUCUGACUGAGCAGAAACGAGACAAGAAAGAGAUCGAGAUAGACAAGAGUGCACCCGAGGCUUGUCCAGUUGAAAUUGUAGAACGAAGACCUGUUCCAGAAAAAGCUACCAAGUCCAAAAGAGGAAGAUCCAGGAGUGUGAAGGCUGUAGAUAAAGCAUCCUUGUUGAAGAGCCUGAAAAACAUUGAGAUCCGUCUGAAUGUAGAUGAAGUUAAAGGGGCUCUUCGGCCAAGUGAAGAGGAGAUGGAACCUGUAGCAGCUCCAUCACCCAAAAACAAAAGCCCUCUGAAGGAAGACAAACUGUCCCCACGCUUCAUAAAGAAUGAGGCAGAAGACCCCUUUCAGGAGGCAGCAGAAAAGGAAACGGCUUGUGAGUCCACGCCAUCUCCUGAAGCAGACCAGCUGGCCAAGCAGAUUGAACUGGAGCAGGCGGUGGAGAAUAUUGCCAAGCUCACCGAAGGCCCAGCCAUUCCAGCCUACAAGGAACCAGCUGCUGAGGUAUCAGAGGUUCGCCAAGAAGAAGACGGAGACAAACCUGCCCAUCAGGCUAGUGAGACAGAACUGGCUGCUGCCAUUGGAUCGAUCAUAAACGACAUUUCUGGAGAGACGGAAACCUUUCCUGCUCCCCCAACGUAUCCUGCUGAAUCGGAGUCUGAAAUGCCCACAGAACCGCUCACGUUGCCAUCUACGCGAGAAGAAGAGAUGGAGCCUGAAACCGACCAGGCGGUGAACAAUAUCUUGGAAUCUGAGGUAGCUUCCGUGGAGCCCCCUGUGCCAGCGGUUCCUGGAUCUGCCCCUGAGACAGAAAGCAAGGAAGCAGAAGUGAACUUCAGUGAAUCUUCCAAUUCAGCACAAGAAGCAGAAAUCCCCCAGGAAGCGGAAGUAUCUCGGAAGGAGCGUGGGCGGCAGAAGGCCGCACGGCCGAGGCGUAAGCGGAGCACAAGUAAGAAGGGGGAUGCCACAGAACUCAGGAGCACAAUGGAACCCGAAAGAGUACAGAGCAAAUCACCCAUUGCCAGUGAAUUUAAAGCAAAGUCAGAAGGGGCCGUGAAAGAGGAGAAUCAGGAAAAACACUCUCCUUCAGCAGACUCCCCGCCAGUUGUUCCUGACGCAAGCAAGCCUGCAGCCCAGGAGGUGACUUCUCAGGAAGUUCCAGUGGAGAGCAGCAGCCCCCUGCCAAAAGCUCCGGAUCCACUGAGUUUGCCAUCUCUGUCAGCCCCCGUGGAGGAGCAGGUGGACUUGAGUGGUGGGUUCAAGCUACGGCCUACAGCUGAAAACACCCCUGUGACUCCACCAAGUGCACCUCUGCCCACUGUUUCACCUUCAGGAGCCACAGUGAGGCUUGCUCCUCCCGUCACUUCUGGAGCAGCAAAGGUGACAGAAUGGAUUGUGAAGCACGAGGAUGCCCGGGUCCACUCCACCCCACCUCCUCCAGCUCUUCCCCCAGAUACAAAAGCGUCCGAUAUUGACACCAAUUCCAGCACGUUGCGGAAGAUCCUGAUGGAGCCCAAGUACGUUUCUCCAGCCAGCAUCGCCCCGACCCACGUCACAACAGCCAUACCUGAACCGGUGAGUGCUCCUCGUGUGGAGGAGGCUCCUCCCCAUCCUCCAGUGGAGGCUGUCAGGCCAGGGUCAGAGGAGAAGCCAUCUGUCCCCGUUGCCAAUGCUUUAGAGCCACCAGCUGCAGAGGCCCCAGUGUUCCCUGAGAAGGAGAAGAUUGUCACAGUUAUCGCCCCACAGGCCACCUCUGUCAUCAGCAGAAUGCCCCACAGCAUCGACCUUGAAGAAACCCCGAGAAUCACAUUGGUGAAGCAAGCCCAGCCCCAGACAUGCCUGGUCAGCACCCUUUCGCCGAAAUACAAGCAGCGGCCCAGUGCUAAUGACAACAGCCGCUUCCACCCCGGCUCCAUGUCUGUGAUUGAAGACCGGCCGGUGGAGACGCCGGGGUCCAGUCCGGGCCUCCGUGUCAACACCUCAGAAGGUGUUGUUCUCCUGAGCUACUCGGGGCAGAAGACAGAAGGCCCGCAAAGGAUCAGUGCAAAGAUCAGCCAGAUUCCCCCUGCUAGUGCAGUUGACAUUGAAUUCCAGCAGUCUGUUUCCAAGUCCCAGAUCAAGCAGGAGCCUCUGGGCCCUGCUCAGGCCAUCCCAAAAGGCUCUCAGGGGCCAGUGGGGUAUGGGGCGGUGCCCACCCCAUCUCUGACGCAGGGAACUCAGCAAUACAGCCCCUCCACAGUCCAGCUUUCCUCCAUCAAGCAAGAACGCAACAGCUUGGAGAAAUCUGAGCCGCCCCACCUUUCUGUUCAGGCACCCCCUUCUCAGUCUGGGCCGGUUAAGGUCCUCUCCCAGUCUGCCAACACUCUAUCCAUCCUGGUCCACAACCAGAUGUUCUCCCAGGGCAUGGGUUCUUCCAGCAACAAAAAGCUUCCAGACCCAGCCGCAUUGAAAGGGGAGACGAAGGCUCUUCAGUCCGCAAGCUUGAGUCCCAGCGUUGGCCCCCACCACCCUUCUUUGGCUGGCAGGAUCCACCCGGAGGCCAACCAUGUGAAUGUGGGAACUGGCACCCCAGCUGACCGGGUCGUCCCCCACCUGGGUGUCACCAAGCAGGAGCCACUCUCACCACGGACGAGCGGCCACUCUCCCUCCCCAUUCCCGAGGACUUGCCACCCCAGCGGCCCCUCUUCCCCGGCUCUGUCUGGGAACAGCUCCAUGCUGGGGAUCCAGGGAUCGCCCUGCCCAGGUAUCCCUGUCCCUCAGUACAUCUCCAGCAUGCAUCCAGAGCAGUCAGUGAUCAUGCCUCCGCACAGCGUCACCCAGACGGUCUCCCUGGGCCACCUCUCCCAAGGGGAGGUCCGCAUGAACACCCCUCCUCUGCCAAGCAUGCCCUAUGGCAUCCGCUCCGAGCUCCAUUCCCCUCGGGCCGCCUUGCAGCCACAGCAGCGCUCCAGCACACCACAACCGACCCCAAUUCGAGAGAUGGUCAUGCCCUCCCUGUCGUCCUCGGAGGAGGAGAUGCACUACCACCACACAGUCUGUCGUGGCUCGGCCCCUGUGCAGUCUGACGUCCUUGUCAUGCAGCCAGACUACCGCGUACACCCCACAGGCAUCCGAUACAAUGUGCCCCGUGACGUGAGGAUGAUAAUGCACCCCCACAUGGCGGCGGUGGGCGGGGACCACCACUCAGAGACCCGACAGGCCCGGACACCAGAAGGGCGGUCCGUCAAGACACCUCCCGCCACCAAGGCCCUCCAGCCCAGCAAGGAGGCACCCAAGGGUCCUGAAGUCAAGAUGGCCCACUCACCGCACGGGGAAGCCCGGCUCCUCAGUGGCCAGCUGCUGGGACUGCCUCUGGCACAGCCUGUCGUCGUCCCACACGGUGUCCAGAUCAUGCACCCCACUGGGAGCUCCUUCCAUGACUACCGGCCAGCCUACAGUGACAUGCAGAGCUACCACCCAGCUGCCCAACUUGGACACCCUCCGUUUUCUGGGGCAUCACCCAUUGGACUGCCUUCCCGGAGUAUGACCCCCUCUCAGGGUCUGCCAGAAGGAGAGCACUCGCACCCCAGCCAGCCAGCACACAGCAAGACCCCGCAGCUCUCCCAGGAGCCCAAAACAGCCCAGGCCCUCGGGCAGGAGUCAACGGCCCACCACCCUCCGGUCAACCGACAUGUCCAACCGAUGGAGCCCCACUUACACCUCUCGCGAGGCCAGGUGGAGACAGGGCAGAGCUCCUACCCUUCUCCCGUUGCCAUCCCUGUGAAGCAGGAGCUGCCCUCCCCACACCAGGCCCUGGCACAGAAGCAGGCCCUCUUCGUCCCCACCACCUCCGGUGCCUCCUUGGCACCCCCAGGGCUGCCCCUCUCCCGUCCGGAUUCCCAGUCGGUGCUCAAGCAAGAGUCCACUACUCACCCGGUCUCUCAGAGGCCAGUCGACAUGGUCCAGCUCCUGACUAAAUAUCCCAUUGUGUGGCAGGGGCUGCUAGCGCUGAAGAAUGACACAGCUGCUGUCCAGCUGCACUUUGUCUCCGGCAACAAUGUCCUGGCCCACCGCUCCUUGCCGGCGCCGGAAGGAGGCCCUCCACUAAGGAUCGCCCAGCGCAUGAGGCUGGAAGUAUCGCAGCUGGAGGGGGUGGCACGCCGCAUGAUGGUGGAGAGUGACUACUGCCUGCUUCUGGCCUUGCCAUGCGGCCGAGACCAAGAGGACGUUGUGAAUCAGACGGAGUCACUGAAGGCCGCCUUCAUCAGCUACCUGCAGGCCAAGCAGGCGGCUGGCAUCAUCAACGUCCCCAACCCAGGCUCCAACCAGCCUGCCUACGUCCUACAGAUCUUCCCGCCCUGUGAGUUCUCAGAGAACCACCUUUCCCGCCUGGCCCCGGACCUCCUGGCCAGCGUCUCGAACAUCUCCCCUCACCUGAUGAUUGUCAUCGCCUCGGUCUGAGCGGACGACGGACGGAUGGACAGACAGACAGACAGCUGGCUACCUGUGGGAUUCUUCUCUCGGCAAGGCCCCGCAGCAAAAACAAAGAGACAGGGAAGGACGGAGGAUGGGGCUCCCCUGGCCCCACUGGGAUCUCCCAGGGGCCUCGAUCCAACGCUGGCCGCCAGCUGAAGUGUGGGGCACUUUUGUUUUGAUGCAGCCAAGUUGCAUGGCACUGGAAUCUGGAAUCCCAUUUGGUUCAGUGCGGCAGGCAGAGGAUGCUGCUGUGUGUGUCAAGGCAGCGGAGGACCACCUACACUUUCCAUGAAAAGAAGGAAGCAAGAUGGUGGCGCUGCCAGGAGCCCAGCUGAGAUGCCUUUGUUAGCCAUCCAGCGCAUCUGUUCAGUGGCAGGAAGGAGUCGGUUGGACCUGGAUUGAUUCGUCUUGUUUCAGUGGGACUCUCUUAGUCUGGGCCUACUAGAAUGUGAUGUGAUGCACAUCUUUGAAAAUGGAGCUGUGUCAAUUGUGCAGAGACGACCGGUUGAGGCUGCGUCUACCACACCAGUCUGCAGGAACUUCCACCAGGUUCCAUUUCCAUGCCUCAUCUUUGCAGGAAAAAGGCUGACGUGUUCCUCCAGGUGCUUCGUUUCUGUUUCUUCUGCAAAUCCUUCAGUGGACCAAGGCAUGCCUACUAGAAUGGCAAAGGGCUCUGUACACUGGAGUUGGCAGGGGCAGAGCAUGCGCUGUCUACCCUACAAAACCCCAGGGCCUCAGACCCCAGAUCCUCCUCUUAGAGGAGGGAAAGGCCUCCUUCCUCCAGAGCGAACCAGGCGGGGCUGCCAAAACCCAGAUGGACGUUAUUUGGGGCAUGUGAGCAUGGGACUCUAGUUCCCAUCAGUUGCUCUUCUGGGAGAAAGCCAUGAUGGGAGUGGUAGGUGAAUAGCUGGGGAGGGAGGCCAGAGGGGCUGUGGCUGAUGUGAGGCAAUAAAGCACUUUCACAGCAGAAAAACCACCUUUCCCCAUCUGGACAGACCAACAGGGACGUCUUUUACAAUGGAAAACCCCUGGCCUGUACUGGAACCAGUGGCUGGGAUCCAAACUGGUGCAGAAACCUCCCUGGCCUAAACCUGGACUGAGCCCCCCACCCAGCAGCCUCUCCAAGUAGCUCCAGCCAAGAUGGAAGCAGAAGAUAACCCUGGCAGGCUGCUAAAGCUGCCAGCCCACGGACUUUAAUGGUAGCUUUCUCAUUCCAAGCUGUGUGAUGAACAAGCCUCUUUGUGCAGCAACUAAGAAAUGGGUUUUUCCUACUAGUUUCCUCUAAGGUCAUCUUCAGAUGUGCAGGUGGUCACAGCCACUGAGGAAAGGAAGACAUCCCAGAGCCUCCACAGAUACAGAUGCCGAUGGAAGGAUGCUGGGAUUUACUCGCAUCCUCGGCGGAGGCCCCCUUUCCCUCCACAACAGCUGCUCCUACUAACUCCAAAUGCCAAGCUGUGUUUCAAAGCCAUGGCUAGUCCCCUUCUCUUUGGAACAGGUAUUAGAAAAUAAGGGCU